rnacentral:rRNA from 1 species
CAGUAGCCACGGUAAAACGGAGGGGGCUAGCGUUGUUCGGAAUUACUGGGCGUAAAGCGCACGUAGGCGGCUUUGUAAGUUAGAGGUGAAAGCCUGGGGCUCAACUCCAGAAUUGCCUUUAAGACUGCAUCGCUUGAACGUCGGAGAGGUGAGUGGAAUUCCGAGUGUAGAGGAGAAAUUCGUAGAUAUUCGGAAGGACACCAGUGGCGAAGGCGGCUCACUGGACGACUGUUGACGCUGAGGUGCGAAAGCGUGGGGAGCAAACAGGAUUAGAGACCCGCGUAGUCCCUGUCUCUUAUAC